ACGCAGCUACAUAGGUCAAUGUGUUUCUGCGUAAAAGAAACUCAGAACCUAUCAUAACUUUCGUGUAUAAUUUUGUUAAUCAACACCAUAUCUUGACAAUUUUGUAAUUGAACAAGUUCUAAAAAAUUGUGUAAUUAUUUAUUUAAAACUGUGAUGAUUUGUAAAAGUGUUUUCAAGAAUGCCAAUACAGGCACCACAGUGGACUGAAUUUCUUUCUUGUCCUGUUUGCUGUCACGACUUUGAUUCAACGCUUCGUGGACCUAUUUCUUUAGGAUGUGGUCAUACAAUCUGUCGUACUUGUUUAUCUAAUUUACAUCGUAAACAAUGUCCAUUCGAUCAGAAUUCCAUCAAUACAGAGGUAGAUAGGUUACCUAUAAAUGAAGCAUUAUUACAGUUAGUGAAUAAUUCAGUUCCUAAGAAUGAAAGUUAUGCUUAUACAAAACUCCUACCACCUGAACAUCAUGCGGAUUAUUUAAUUGCAAAAAGAUGUAUCGAAGUAUUGGCAUUGUAUCUGAAACCAUGCCAAUCAUCACCUAUAAAUGGAGCAGGAAUGGGACUUGUGUCUCGUCCUAUGCAAAGAAAACUAGUAACUCUAAUUGGCUGUCAAUUAGUAGAACCAGAAGGAAGAGCUCGAGCAGUCAGAGCAGCAAGAAGCUUAGGAGAGCGAUCAGUCACAGAAUUAAUUCUUCAACAUCAAAAUCCUCAGCAACUAAGUGCCAACUUAUGGGCAGCUGUAAGAGCUCGAGGAUGUCAAUUUCUUGGACCUGGUAUGCAAGAAGAAGUGUUAAAAUUAGUGUUAUUAGCACUUGAAGACGGAUCUGCUCUAUCAAGAAAAGUGUUAGUGAUGUUUGUUGUUCAAAGAUUAGAACCACAUUUUCCACAAGCCUCUAAAACAAGUAUUGGACAUGUUGUUCAACUUUUAUACCGUGCUAGUUGCUUCAAAGUAUCGAAAAGAGAGGGAGAUUCAUCUCUCAUGCAAUUGAAAGAAGAAUUUCGAACUUAUGAGGCACUUAGACGUGAGCAUGAUGCUCAAAUUGUUCAAAUUGCGACUGAAGCUGGUCUUAGAAUUGCACCAGAUCAAUGGUCUGCUUUACUAUAUGGAGACUCUGGUCAUAAAUCACAUAUGCAAAGUAUCAUUGAUAAAUUACAAACUCCACAAUCAUUUGCUCAAAGUGUCCAAGAGCUCGUGAUUGCACUUCAACGGACACCUGAUCCAGGUCAAUUAAGUAGUUUAAGGCCACAGCUAGAAUUAUUAGCAGGCAUUGAUCCCAGUCCAGAAACAGAAUAUCCAAGUUGGACAACCACUCGUGCAGCAUUAGAAGCUGUCAAAACAGUUAUCACAGCACUUGUUGAUUAUGUUCAAAAGCAUGGAAAUAGAAAGCCUCAAGAGACUCUUCAUACUGCUAGUCCAGGGCAAUUGAAAUAUAAAAUUAGUAUGUGUCGAGAUUUAGCUUUACGUGGUUCUUGUCCUCGUGCAACUAAUUGUACUUUUGCCCACAGUGAUUUAGAGUUGGAUAAAUAUAGAUCAAAACAUCGAAAAUUAAGUAUGAGAUCGAGUUUACCUCUGACUGGAAGCCCGGAUCAUAAAACUGAUAAGUCUGGAAUCUCAUCAAAUCUUCCACCAAAAGCUUAUAAAUCGUGUGGCGAUUUGAAUUAUUCAAUUAAAAUGAAUGAUAAUCAUUCAGACAAAUUUUACACUUUAAGAACCAUUAAGUGUUUACCACAUCCAGUGAUUAAUAAUGAGAAUAAUUUUACAAGUAAUAUGAAUAGUUUUGUUCUUCCAAAUCCACAAACUUGUUCUCAAGUGUCUGAAAAAAAUAUUGACAUACAGUGUCCUCAUUACAUUGUUCAUUCAAAUCCUAUAGACUAUUUUAAUGCAAAUUUACAUGUCUGGGAUGCUCCUCAAAUAGUUCCCAGUGGACAGAAUAGUCUUCAAAAUAAUAAAAAACAAAAAACUGUUGCUAAAACUCUAGCUGUGUUACUUCAACGAAGAAUGGAAAUAAUAAAUCAGUUAGAAAACAUUAUGGGAAAGCCCAUGACAUCACAGCAAUUGAAAAUUAAUUAUGAAAUUCAAGGAGAUGCUAUUCCUUACUCGAUAUGGGCUAAUAGGCCUGUUUCACAAACAACACCAACGCCUCAUCUUAAUUAUGGCAAUAAUUUUCAUCGCUCCGAUUCAAUUAUUUUCGAUGAUGAAUUUGUACCAUUUGAUGGAACUUCAGCUAAUAAAUAUGGACCAAUAUCACGGAUAUCAAAGUCAUUACAUAGACCAGCAAACGGAACACAAACCAAUUCAAUUUAUAAUGAAGGAAUUUCUCCAUCAAUUCAAACAAUUCGUCCUAUAACUGCUACAAAUUCACUGGGGUCAUGGUGUUAUGGCCAGCCUUAUGCAACAAUUGGAACAAAUUCAGGACUGCAAACGGUUCAAAAUUCCAAUUUUGGUGAGACUUAUGUAACUUUGGGACCAUGUAAUAUCUCUGAAUCUCCACCACAUGUGCAGUUAACACGACAGGAUAAUAUGUCUAAGGAUCUCAUUCUAGAGUCCCAAAAAGUAAAACAGCAGCUAAAGCAUUUGGAGAAAAAAAUAAACGAUCUGAAGUUAGCAACACAAGGAGCGGCAUUUAAUGAGGGCGAAAGACUGGCGCAAGAGCUUCAAAUAAUUGAGGCAGGCAUUCGAGAGAAAGAGAAAGACGUCCGCAAAUGGAAUCCUUAUUGUACAAUACCCUGUAUGCAACCAAUGAAUAAUCUUCUGUCUGAUCAGACUAUUAAUCAUUCGAUAAAUAAUGAUUUUACUACAAAAGACGAAGACUCAUACGAAGCAGAUAUAGCAAAUGAUAUUCGAGAGCUUGAAAUUCGUUGGGAUUAUGAAUUAAAAGAACAAGAAAAACGUUGGUCUAACGAAGAUGACAAUGUUCCACAAUUGUAAUUUUUAUAUAACGAUUCUUUGGACUUUUUGAAAGGACAUAAAUAUUGAGAUAAAUUUUUUAAUUUACAUGGUGAUGAAGUAAUUGAAAAUACAUACAUUUUAUGGUAAGAGAACUCGUGGAAAUCCUAGAUAAGUUCAAAUCAGGGUCAUAUGAAAAAGCUUGUAGUUAUGUAACUGUGCAAAAUGCACGUAAAAGAUGAAGAACAUAUUUUAAAAACAAUCAAGCUAAGGAUGAAAAUGUGUUUGUUAAAAUUUAACAGAAAAAAUCGAUUUUAGUGUUUCAUAAACAUGACGAUUAUAGACUAAUUAUUUGUAUAUUUAUAUUUGCACAUUGGAGCAAGGAAUACCAAGUAUCAUGUCACUAUAAAAUUCGAAACAAAUUUUAACUAUUAUCUUAUUUUAGAUAAAUAGUUAAAUAUAAAUUUUAAAAAUAAGUGUACAUAAGUAUUUGUUUAUGACAAACAUAUACUAUUGUUAUUAAUAUCUCAAUUUGGUCAAUGUUUCAGUUUAAUUUUAAAAAACAGUUCGACUGUUCCUCGAAUUAAAAAAAAUUAUUUUAUUAUAUAUUCUUUAUUUUUGUUAACAAAUUUCUGAUUGAGAAAAUAAUAUAUUUAAUGUAAUACUUGAAGUGAUACGAGUUCAACGUCGUAUUAAUUUCAAUUAAUUGUUACUCACAUAAUGAGAGAAUUUGCAAUAAUAUUUCAGUUAAUUAUAUUUUUAUGAAAUGGACAUGCUUAUAGCUUAAAUAAUGAAGAUUCCAGUUUUAUUGGAAGUAUCACAUGGCCUUAGAAAGUGUGAUGGACAGAGAAUGAUUUUUUUCUUUGUGCUUGAAAUAAUACUGUUAUCAUCUUACUCUUAUGUAUUUUUAUUACUUUAUAUAAUGACUUCAUUAAUAUUGAGUAUUUGUUUUGUGAUGAAAUAUUGUGCAAUUGAUUCAUUCUUUAAAAGAAAAGUAUUUUAUGGAUUUAUAAAAUUUGAUUUCGAUUACAAAUAUAUUAUAAAAUGUUAAUUCAAUAUGGCAAAAACAACAAAGAAAUAAGAUGGUAAAAGGCUGUGUAAAGGGAAGUAAUAAGCACAACAUUACCGUUUGUGCUAGCUUCAAAUAAAUUGCAUGUUAAACAUGUCUUUAUCGAUAAGGACUUUAUUCAUAUAUACCCAUAUUGACGGUAUAAACCUUUAUAAAUAUAUUAUUGAUGUUUUUAGUUUAAACAUAAAUAAAGAAACAAGGGAAAAAGUUGUAUACAAAUUGAUAAUACAUUUACUUAUAUAUGUAUAAUUUACAUAACCAGUGCACUAAAAAAAUGUAUUGCUAUUUAUAUAAAUUGUUAAAAAAACAAAGAAAAUUAUUGCGGCAAAUGUUUUUAUGUCAGAUUUGUAUAAAUAA
rnacentral:misc_RNA from 1 species